rnacentral:tRNA from 1 species
GGUAAGAUGGCCGAGAGAAUAGGCAGUGGGUUGUAGCCCCAAACACAAGGUUAAAGUCCUUUCCUUAUCA